rnacentral:rRNA from 1 species
GGGUAUGGCUGUUCGCCAUUUAAAGUGGUACGCGAGCUGGGUUUAGAACGUCGUGAGACAGUUCGGUCCCUAUCUGCCGUGGGCGCUGGAGAAUUGAGGGGGGCUGCUCCUAGUACGAGAGGACCGGAGUGGACGCAUCACUGGUGUUCGGGUUGUCAUGCCAAUGGCACUGCCCGGUAGCUAAAUGCGGAAGAGAUAAGUGCUGAAAGCAUCUAAGCACGAAACUUGCCCCGAGAUGAGUUCUCCCUGAGACUUUAAGUCUCCUGAAGGAACGUUGAAGACGACGACGUUGAUAGGUCGGGUGUGUAAGCGCAGCGAUGCGUUGAGCUAACCGAUACUAAUGAACCGUGAGGCUUAACCUU